GACGAACGCUGGCGGCGUGCUUAACACAUGCAAGUCGAACGGAAAGGCCCUGCUUUUGUGGGGUGCUCGAGUGGCGAACGGGUGAGUAACACGUGAGUAACCUGCCCUUGACUUUGGGAUAACUUCAGGAAACUGGGGCUAAUACCGGAUAGGAGCUCCUGCUGCAUGGUGGGGGUUGGAAAGUUUCGGCGGUUGGGGAUGGACUCGCGGCUUAUCAGCUUGUUGGUGGGGUAGUGGCUUACCAAGGCUUUGACGGGUAGCCGGCCUGAGAGGGUGACCGGCCACAUUGGGACUGAGAUACGGCCCAGACUCCUACGGGAGGCAGCAGUGGGGAAUAUUGCACAAUGGGCGGAAGCCUGAUGCAGCCACGCAGCGUGCGGGAUGACGGCCUUCGGGUUGUAAACCGAUUUCGCCUGUGACGAAGCGUGAGUGACGGUAAUGGGUAAAGAAGCACCGGCUAACUACGUG
rnacentral:rRNA from 1 species